rnacentral:rRNA from 1 species
GCUCCCUCCGCGCCAUCAGACUCCUACGGAGGCAGCAGUAAGGAAUAUUGGUCAAUGGACGCAAGUCUGAACCAGCCAUGCCGCGUGGAGGAUGAAGGCCCUCUGGUUGUAAACGUUCUUUAUUGGGUAAGAAAUCNGUUUUUCUAAGCAGUUGACGGUACCCGACUCGAAUAAGCACCGGCUAACUCCGUGCCAGCAGCCGCGGUAAUUC